CCUACGGGAGGCAGCAGUGAGGAAUAUUGGUCAAUGGGCGCGAGCCUGAACCAGCCAAGUAGCGUGCAGGAUGACUGCCCUACGGGUUGUAAACUUCUUUUAUAAAGGAAUAAAGUGAGGCACGCGUGCCUUUUUGUAUGUACUUUAUGAAUAAGGAUCGGCUAACUCCGUGCCAGCAGCCGCGGUAAUACGGAGGAUACGAGCGUUAUCCGGAUUUAUUGGGUUUAAAGGGAGCGUAGACGGGUUGUUAAGUCAGCUGUGAAAGCUCGCGGCUCAACCGUGGAAUUGCCAUUGAUACUGGCAGGCUAGAGUACAGUUGAGGUAGGCGGAAUUCGUGGUGUAGCGGUGAAAUGCUUAGAUAUCACGAAGAACACCGAUUGCGAAGGCAGCUUACUAAACUACCACUGACGUUGAUGCUCGAAAGUGUGGGUAUCAAACAGGAUUAGAUACCCGGGUAGUC
rnacentral:rRNA from 1 species